rnacentral:ncRNA from 1 species
AAAAAUUCUAUGAAGAGAAAAAGUAAGUUAUUAUUUUGUUCAACAGAGAGUUGGCAUAUGCUGAAAGCCAAUGUUCAAAAAUUAGCUGAAAAUCAUCUCUGAGAAGCAGUGCUGAACGGUUAGUAGGUAUUGCCGGAGUCUUUCACCGUUAAAAGAUAGGCGUAUUGUUAGAUACGUAGCUAAGUGCUAUAAAAGGUUUAUUAUAUUUAUAAACUAAUUUUAUAGAAUUAGGGUGGUAACGCGGAUAUUUCCGUCCCUUGU